AAUCAGAGUAGUACAAGCAUUAGACUAUAUUACAGACCUGGUUUAUUCAUCAACCAGUUUUUUUAAUUUUACAUAAUGAAGUUUGACAAAAACAAGUAAAUUAAUUUGUUUGAUACCUCUCAUCUCGUAAGGUAAGAGCCUGGACGACGUUCAAAUAGGCAGUAAAAAAAACUAAAAUAAAAACGUGAUAUGUCGCCGCAAAGUGCUGUCCUAUUCAUAUUUAUACCAUUUCAAGCCCUUUCAGCUUCUCACACUCGACCAUUUACCAGGUGAGGUUUACCAGCCAAGUCCCUGAGGGUUCAGGGUUUAAGGCUUUAGGGGGGACAUUGGGAUUGGGCCCUUGACUCUGAUUUUCAUUCGGGCACGUUGAAAUCUUGCAAAUGUCAUUACGAGCACAGAUUAUCAGUCACGCACUACUGUCAGGAUAUAGUGACAGUUUUAUAAAAUAACUUUUGUCAUAUUUGCUCAAAGUUACCGACUGCAGCUUUAACAAAAUUGCUUUGAGAAAACGAGUGUAGCUGUAGCCGCUUCAACCUAACCACAAUAUAUACAUAUAUGCAAUCACUAUUUGAUCAAGUGUGAAACACACACACAGGCAUUCCUUCAACAUGCACACUGGAGCUACACACAAACACACACACACUACAGGCAGGUGUACAGCAGACACACACACACAUCCUUUGAUAAUUGACCUUCACUCACACACUAAUAUGCCACAGCCUUCUCACCCACUUAAAGCAAACAGCAGUGCUAAUCGUGUCACAAAAAAGGGGGGCGUCAACUCACAUUAACCUUUUCUUUUUUUUAUUAGAAAAGGGACGUAAAGCGAUGCUGAAAACGUUACUACACUCUGUAUAUGUCGUCAACUUUUAGAAGUACUGAAAACUGAAGCCACUUUGUUUUUUUUUGGAGGGAAAAAGAAACCAGAGGAAUUCAAGCAUGCACAUGACUCUUGUAUGUGUGUGUGUGUGUGUGUGUGUGUAUAUGAGCCCUAACAAGGGUGGAUGGAAGAAAUGUGUAAAGAGUCCCCAACAGAAGAAGGCAGGACGGUUUUUGCUUUGCAGCCAAAGACCAUAUCACUGUGAUUUUCAAAGUGGGAUUAUUAAAAAUUGCUUGAUUCAUA